rnacentral:rRNA from 1 species
CCUACGGGCGGCAGCAGUGAGGAAUAUUGGUCAAUGGGCGCGAGCCUGAACCAGCCAAGUCGCGUGAGGGAGGACGGCCCUACGGGUUGUAAACCUCUUUUGCCGGGGAGCAACGGGCGCCACGUGUGGCGUGACUGAGAGUACCCGGAGAAAAAGCAUCGGCUAACUCCGUGCCAGCAGCCGCGGUAAUACGGAGGAUGCGAGCGUUAUCCGGAUUUAUUGGGUUAAAAGGGUGCGUAUGCGAAUCGGUAAGCAAGUGGGAAAAGUGCGGGGCUCAACCCCUUCCCGCCAUUGAAACUGGCGUUCUGGAGUGGAAGAGAAGUAUGCGGAAUGCGUGGUGUAGCGGUGAAAUGCAUAGAUAUCACGCAGAACCCCGAUUGCGAAGGCAGCAUGCCGGCUUCCGACUGACGCUGAGGCACGAAAGCGUGGGGAUCGAACAGGAUUAGAUACCCUUGUAGUC